UGAGCGGCCAUAGUGUCUUUAAGGCUCACU
rnacentral:piRNA from 1 species